GAUGAACGCUGGCGGCGUGCUUAAUACAUGCAAGUCGAGCGAAGCACUUUAACGGAAUUCUCCGGAAGGAAGGUAAAGUGACUGAGCGGGCGACGGGUGAAGGUACGCGUGGUAACCUGCCUUAUACAGGGGGAUAACAGUUAGAAAUGGCUGCUAAUACCGCAUAAGCGCACAGGGCCGCAUGGCCCGGUGUGAAAAACUCCGGUGGUAUAAGAUGGACCCGCGUCUGAUUAGCUGGUUGGUGGGGUAACGGCCCACCAAGGCGACGAUCAGUAGCCGGCCUGAGAGGGUGAACGGCCACAUUGGGACUGAGACACGGCCCAG
rnacentral:rRNA from 1 species